rnacentral:rRNA from 1 species
ACCCAAUAGAUACCCGGGUAGUCCCAGCUGUAAACGAUGCAGGCUAGGUGUUUGGACGGCCACGUGCCGUUCUAGUGCCGCAGGGAAGCUGUUAAGCCUGCCGCCUGGGGAGUACGAUCGCAAGAUUGAAACUUAAAGGAAUUGGCGGGGGAGCACCACAAGGGGUGAAGCUUGCGGUUUAAUUGGAGUCAACGCCGGAAAUCUCACCGGGAGCGACAGCAGUGUGAAGGCCAGAUUAAAGGUCUUGCCAGACGAGCUGAGAGGAGGUGCAUGGCCGUCGCCAGUUCGUGCCGUGAGGUGUCCUGUUAAGUCAGGCAACGAUCGAGACCCGCGUCCUCUGUUGCUACUAGCCUUGUGCUGGGCACACUGAGGAGACCCGCCACUGAUAAAGUGGAGGAAGGAGCGGGCCACGGCAGGUCAGUAUGCCCCGAAUCUCCCGGGCACACGCGAGCUGCAAUGGCAGGUACAAUGGGUUCCGACCUCGAAAGGGGUAGGCAAUCUCGAAAGCCUGCCGUAGUUGGGAUUGAGGGUU